UGAAUACGAGACGCUACGGCGUCGAAGCAGUCGAUGUCAUACUUCCAAGAAAAGCUUGCAAUGUCAUAAACAAAUAAUGCCUGUACCAUAACCGACACAGGUGGGUAGGUAGAGUAUACUAAGGGGCGCGAGAUAACUCUCUCUAAGGAACUCGGCAAAAUGACUCCGUAACUUCGGGAGAAGGAGUGCCUUAUUUAUAAGGUUGCAAUAACAAGAUCCAAGCAACUGUUUAUCAAAAACACAGGUCUCCGCUAAGUCGUAAGACGAUGUAUGGGGGCUGACGCCUGCCCAGUGCCAGAAGGUUAAAGAAGUUGGUUAGCAUUCGCGAAGCUGAUAACUGAAGCCCUGGUGAACGGCGGCCGUAACUAUAAUGGUCCUAAGGUAGCGAAAUUCCUUGUCGGGUAAGUUCCGACCCGCACGAAAGGCGUAAUGAUUUGGAUACUGUCUCGGAGAGGGACUCGGUGAAAUAGACUUGUCUGUGAAGAUGCGGACUACCUGCACCUGGACAGAAAGACCCUAUGAAGCUUUACUGUAACUUGAAAUUGAAAUUGGACUUUAUUUGCGCAGUAUAGGUGGGAGGCGUUGAGAAUAUUCUUGCGGGAAUAUUGGAGCCAUCAGUGAGAUACCACUCUUGUAAUGUUAGAUUUCUAACUUUGCAUCAUUAUCUGGUCAAAGAACAGUUUCAGGCGGGCAGUUUGACUGGGGCGGUCGCCUCCCAAACGGUAACGGAGGCGUACAAAGGUUUCCUCUGAACGGGUAGAAAUCGUAUCUAGAGUGUAAAGGCAUAAGGAAGCUUGACUGUGAGACCUACAAGUCGAGCAGGGACGAAAGUCGGUCUUAGUGAUCUGACGGUGCUGAGUGGAAAGGCCGUCACUCAACGGAUAAAAGUUACUCUAGGAUAACAGGCUGAUCUCCCCCAAGAGUUCACAUCGACGGGGAGGUUUGGCACCUCGAUGUCGGCUCAUCGCAUCCUGGGGCGGUAGUACGUCCCAAGGGUUGGGCUGUUCGCCCAUGAAAGCGGUACGCGAGCUGGGUUCAGAACGUCGUGAGACAGUUCGGUCCAUAUCCGGUGUAGGCGUUAGAAUAUUGAGAGGAGCCUUCUUUAGUACGAGAGGACCGAGAAGGACAUACCUCUGGUGUACCAGUUAUCGUGCCAACGGUAAACGCUGGGUAGCUAUGUAUGGAGAGGAUAACCGCUGAAAGCAUCUAAGUGGGAAGCCCACCUCAAGAUAAG
rnacentral:rRNA from 1 species